rnacentral:rRNA from 1 species
GGCGUAAGGGCUCGCAGGCGGUUUCUUAAGUCUGAUGUGAAAGCCCCCGGCUCAACCGGGGAGGGUCAUUGGAAACUGGGGAACUUGAGUGCAGAAGAGGAGAGUGGAAUUCCACGUGUAGCGGUGAAAUGCGUAGAGAUGUGGAGGAACACCAGUGGCGAAGGCGACUCUCUGGUCUGUAACUGACGCUGAGGAGCGAAAGCGUGGGGAGCGAACAGGAUUAGAUACCCUGGUAGUCCACGCCGUAAACGAUGAGUGCUAAGUGUUAGGGGGUUUCCGCCCCUUAGUGCUGCAGCUAACGCAUUAAGCACUCCGCCUGGGGAGUACGGUCGCAAGACUGAAACUCAAAGGAAUUGACGGGGGCCCGCACAAGCGGUGGAGCAUGUGGUUUAAUUCGAAGCAACGCGAAGAACCUUACCAGGUCUUGACAUCCUCUGACAAUCCUAGAGAUAGGACGUCCCCUUCGGGGGCAGAGUGACAGGUGGUGCAUGGUUGUCGUCAGCUCGUGUCGUGAGAUGUUGGGUUAAGUCCCGCAACGAGCGCAACCCUUGAUCUUAGUUGCCAGCAUUCAGUUGGGCACUCUAAGGUGACUGCCGGUGACAAACCGGAGGAAGGUGGGGAUGACGUCAAAUCAUCAUGCCCCUUAUGACCUGGGCUACACACGUGCUACAAUGGACAGAACAAAGGGCAGCGAAACCGCGAGGUUAAGCCAAUCCCACAAAUCUGUUCUCAGUUCGGAUCGCAGUCUGCAACUCGACUGCGUGAAGCUGGAAUCGCUAGUAAUCGCGGAUCACAU